rnacentral:misc_RNA from 1 species
AACGCACAUUGCGCCUAAUAGUAUUCUGUUAGGCAUGCCUGUUCGAGCGUCAUUUCAACCCUCAAGCUUAACUGCUUGGCGUUGGGGCAUUACCGCACGGUAAGCCCCGAAAAUCAGUGGCAAGAUCAGUCAUCUCUGAGCGUAGUAAAUCUCUUCUCGCUUUGGUAAGGUGUUCUGGUGGCAGCCAACAAACCCAAUAUUUUCUGAUAGUUGACCUCGGAUCAGGUAGGAAUACCCGCUGAACUUAA